rnacentral:rRNA from 1 species
GGACUGAGAGGUUGAACAGCCACAUUGGGACUGAGACACGGCCCAAACUCCUACGGGAGGCAGCAGUAGGGAAUUUUCGGCAAUGGAGGAAACUCUGACCGAGCAACGCCGCGUGAACGAUGAAGUAUUUCGGUAUGUAAAGUUCUUUUAUUGAAGAAGAAAAAAUAGUGGAAAAACUAUCUUGACGAUAUUCAAUGAAUAAGCCCCGGCAAACUAUGUGCCAGCAGCCGCGGUAAUACAUAGGGGGCGAGCGUUAUCCGGAAUUAUUGGGCGUAAAGGGUGCGUAGGCGGUUUGGUAAGUCUAUAGUUUAAUUUCAGUGCUUAACACUGUUCUGCUAUAGAAACUAUCAGACUAGAGUGAGAUAGAGGCAAGUGGAAUUCCAUGUGUAGCGGUAAAAUGCGUAAAUAUAUGGAGGAACACCAGAGGCGUAGGCGGCUUGCUGGGUCUUUACUGACGCUGAGGCACGAAAGCGUGGGGAGCAAACAGGAUUAGAUACCCUGGUAGUCCACGCCGUAAACGAUGAGUACUAAGUGUCGGGGAAACUCGGUACUGAAGUUAACACAUUAAGUACUCCGCCUGAGUAGUACGUACGCAAGUAUGAAACUUAAAGGAAUUGACGGGACUCCGCACAAGCGGUGGAUCAUGUUGUUUAAUUCGAAGAUACACGAAAAACCUUACCAGGUCUUGACAUACUCUGCAAAGCUAUAGCAAUAUAGUGGAGGUUAUCAGGGAUACAGGUGGUGCAUGGUUGUCGUCAGCUCGUGUCGUGAGAUGUUAGGUUAAGUCCUAAAACGAGCGCAACCCUUGUCACUAGUUGCCAGCAUGUUAUGAUGGGCACUUUAGUGAGACUGCCAAUGAAAAAUUGGAGGAAGGUGAGGAUCACGUCAA